rnacentral:rRNA from 1 species
AUACGUAGGGGGCGAGCGUUGUCCGGAAUGAUUGGGCGUAAAGGGCGCGUAGGCGGCGCGGUAAGUCUGGAGUGAAAGUCCUGCUUUCAAGGUGGGAAUUGCUUUGGAUACUGCCGCGCUUGAGUGCAGGAGAGGUUAUCGGAAUUCCCGGUGUAGCGGUGAAAUGCGUAGAGAUCGGGAGGAACACCAGUGGCGAAGGCGGGUAACUGGACUGCAACUGACGCUGAGGCGCGAAAGUGUGGGGAGCAAACAGGAUUAGAUACCCUGGUAGUCCACACUGUAAACGAUGAAUGCUAGGUGUAAGAGGUAUCGACCCCUGCUGUGCCGCAGUAAACACAAUAAGCAUUCCGCCUGGGGAGUACGGCCGCAAGGUUGAAACUCAAAUGAAUUGACGGGG